rnacentral:rRNA from 1 species
GAUGAACGCUGGCGGCGUGCCUAAUACAUGCAAGUCGAGCGAACAGACGAGGAGCUUGCUCCUCUGACGUUAGCGGCGGACGGGUGAGUAACACGUGGAUAACCUACCUAUAAGACUGGGAUAACUUCGGGAAACCGGAGCUAAUACCGGAUAAUAUAUUGAACCGCAUGGUUCAAUAGUGAAAGACGGUUUUGCUGUCACUUAUAGAUGGAUCCGCGCCGCAUUAGCUAGUUGGUAAGGUAACGGCUUACCAAGGCAACGAUGCGUAGCCGACCUGAGAGGGUGAUCGGCCACACUGGAACUGAGACAAGGUCCAGACUCCUACGGGAGGCAGCAGUAGGGAAUCUGCCGCAAUGGGCGAAAGCCUGACGGAGCAACGCCGCGUGAGUGAUGAAGGCCUUCGGAUCGUAAAACUCUGUUAUUAGGGAAGAACAAAUGUGUAAGUAACUAUGCACGUCUUGACGGUACCUAAUCAGAAAGCCACGGCUAACUACGUG